CCAACGGCCCUCUUUAGGGCCACCAGCUUGCGAAUACAAAUCCAA
rfam:Necator americanus N_americanus-1.0_Cont253.4, whole genome shotgun sequence.